rnacentral:lncRNA from 1 species
CUCAGGGCCCAGGGGUUUUAAUGUGGACACAUAUGGGGGGGCCCUUUUUCCGCCCCCUACAGAAGGUGGUUGUUGAUUUUCAGUAGGAUGGUCAGGGAAGACCCUGCUGAGAAGCCACCAUUUGAGCCAAGACUGGAGGAGCUGAGGCUGUGGGCCAGGAUGACAUCGAGGGUGGAGCCUUCCAGGCAAAAAAACAUCGUGUGAAAGUUUUUCAUCAUGUCCAGGCACCACGUCUUCCUG